GUCAUAAUCCAGUACUCUUGCACCACCUUGUCCCUCUAAUGCUCCAAUAUGCUGCCUUCCCCCCUCCCCGCCCCCAUUGCUGAAGUCCUCCCCGGCUAGGCUAUGGGGAUGGAGAGCGAAGCGCAGCUUCUCUGGCUGAGCUUCCAGUUCCCUCCCGAGGGAAGGGCCGGCGCAGGCCGACGCCUGGCACCGCGGAGAGAACAGCUAAUCCCUCGUGCAGGAAGGAUCUCCCUGCAAGGAACUGACAAGUACACCCAGCGCAACCCGAGGCAGGCAGAUGGGGAGAGACCGGCAGGCUGGUCUGGGACGCUGGCAAGCAGACUGACCAAGGAGGAUGGCGGGGUGGGGGUGGGGGCUCUGGGGGGCUCGCUGGGAGACCCUCGCAAAGCCCCAGGGGGUGCGGGAGGCAGCUGGACCUCCUGAAAGCAGCACCACAGAGCACCUGCCGCCCCCUUUUCCUUAUCGCUGCCUUCACGGGAACACCAUCAACGGGGUUCCUGCUCCCCGUUGGGUCUUUCUCAAAUCGGGCUGGCCCUAGACCGCUCCGACUCAACCUGCUGUGUCUUGGUCUCUGUCCCAGCACGGAGGUGGAGGAAAGGACCCAGGGGUCCUGGACUCUGCGCCCCCCCACGCAGGCACCCCCACCCCAGGCUUCUCCUCCACUUUUCCCUCCUGCCUGCCUGCCUGCCUUCCCUGGAAAGGUUUGGGGAACUGUCCAUCGUAAAAGUAACUUUUCCAAGCUGUGUUGCUGAUGUGUUGUUGUUGUUGUUGUUGUUGUUGUUGUUGUUGUUGUUGCUGCUGCUGCUGCUGCUGCUGCUGCUGCUGCUGCUGCUGCUGGUGUUGGCGGCGGCAGAGGUGGUGGUGGUGCUGAAGGGCAGGGCGCAGCCGGGCACUUCCUCCUCCUUCUCCUCCUCGGCAUCAAGUUGGAUCCUGCAACAAGGCAGGGGGAGGCCCAGGAGGAGAGAGAGAGAGAGAGAGGCUGUGAAGCCCAGAGGGCGAGAACAGCAUCAAGGACUCAUCCUGACACACCGCCAGAACCAAAAGAGGUGCCAGGUUUUCACAGCCCUGAGGGUUCAGGUUCCUUCCUUCCUCCAUGAGAGAAAACAAAACUGCUGGGUUUACACUUCUGUGCUACGAUCUGGACCCUCCCCUUUUUUGCAUCUGAGCCAGGAUGCGACCUAUAAUGCCAGCGGUGAGGUGCUUUGCACAAGGCUCAGAGCAAGCAGGGGCGCUUCCUCUUACUCUGGGUCUGGGG
rnacentral:lncRNA from 1 species